UACGUAGGGAGCAAGCGUUGUCCGGAAUCAUUGGGCGUAAAGCGCGCGUAGGUGGCUUCGUAAGUCCGUUGUGAAAGUCAAAGGCUCAACCUUUGAAAGCCGAUGGAUACUGCGGAGCUAGAGUGCGGAAGAGGCGAGUGGAAUUCCUGGUGUAGCGGUGAAAUGCGCAGAUAUCAGGAGGAACACCGAUUGCGAAGGCAGCUCGCUGGGACGUAACUGACGCUGAGACGCGAAAGCGUGGGGAGCAAACAGG
rnacentral:rRNA from 1 species